CUGUAAUUAUAAAAAAUUAUAGAUAUGGAUAUAUAAGAUGAUUCCGGUUGUUCGUGCAUGUGGAUGUGUAUUGAGAAAAAAUAAAGACAUGCCUCGGAUGAAACGAUGGAGUGGAACAAAAAAAUUGAAAUGGGUUGACGUGAACAAGAUUUUUUCAAAGAUACAGGUUUAUAAAUUUUUCGUUUAUUAUUAAUAAACUUGAUUAUUAUACUUUUAUAUGCAUUUUUAAUAUGUUUGAUUUUUUAGGAGGAGCUAACACCAAGACAAAACAUGUCACCGAGUGAUGGUGAGAUGACAUCUUGUUAUUAUAUGUCAUUUCAAGAGUAUGUAUAUGAUGAAGGGAAACCAGUUCCAUCCCCAGUACGGGACCAUUUUAGGAGACAAGACGAAUCUUCGUCUUGUAUGUCGUCCAGUGGUCGCUCUCAUUGUAGAGGUAGGGGCAGUGGGAAACACAACCUAGACGAGGUGUUGAAACGGCUACAUGCACUGGAGCAGCAUGUGUUUAUGAACUGACAACCUACGGAGGUUUUUGUUGAAGAAGUGAAUACUAAACAAUUUUGGAAUGACAUUACUUUUGAUGAUCCUAUAGUGUCACAAAGAAAAUAUGAUGAACAUGUUGUACAAGAUGAAGUGAUGAAUAAAAACAAUACAACUGAAAAUAUUUUUGGUGAUAUUGAAGACGACAAGGUGUUGGAGGAGAGGAAUGACUAUGCGGGGAACAAAUUUGAUGAUGAUAUGUUUGAUGUAAAUGAUUAUAGUGAAGUUAAAGAGGUUCUUAUACUUACAUUAAUUUAUAUUUUGUUUUUAGUAGAUUGAAACAUCUGUAACAAUCUGUAACAACUUCCAAGAAUCUGUAACAACUUCCAAGAA